ACGAGGAAUUCCUAGUAAGCACGGGUCAUCAGCCCGUGCUGAUUACGUCCCUGCAAAAUGUACACACCGCCCGUCGCUAUUACCGAUUGAGUGUAAAGGUGAACCUUCUCGAUAGACGCAAGUCUAAAAAUUAAGUAAACCUUUGCACUUAGAGGAAAUAAAAGUCGUAACAAGGUUUCCGUAGGUGAACCUGCGGAAGGAUC
rnacentral:rRNA from 1 species